CCACACUGAUGAAGCGACCACCAGCCUGGACGUGUGACUGACUGAAGACUUCUUCUGGACUCAGAUAUGUGCAUGACUUUUGUGUCUGAUCAUUAUAUUGUGGGUUUACGUAUUACUCUAAUUCAUAUAUGUUCCCAAUAUAUUGUCUAACCUUCUAUGUAGUAACUGUGGUGGUUUGAAUAUCUUCCAUAACCUCUGAGUACUUAGUCCCCAGUUGGUGCUGUUUGGGGAGGCUUAGGAAGAAUGUCACUGGGGGUGGGCUUUGUGAGUUCAAAGACUCCCACCAUUGACAGUCCGCUCUCUGCUCCCUGCCUGUGGUCCAAGCCAUGAGCUCUCUGCUGUUGCUCCAGUUGCCAAGCCUGCCUGCUGCCUUGUGUCCUCACCAUGCUGAUGAUGGACUCUUAUCUCUCUGGCAUCAUAAGCCCCAAAUACACCCUUCUUUCUAUAAGUUGCCCUGGUCACGGUGCUUUGCACAGGAAUAGAAAAGGAAUUCAUUCAGCAAUGGAUCACUUCCCUGAAGCCAACCACAGUGCCUGUGUGCAAAUAAGAAACCAGAGUGCUAAAGUUCACCAGGAAAGAGAAGGGAGCAGUCACCUGCACAGCUCUGCCAUUGACAUCGGCUCCGACGGACGCGGCCGUAGCAAUUGUAUUGGGCACCGCUGCUGUGCAUGUUUCGCUGGUGUGCAGGUACGACAUGGGUAUUUUCAAUUCACGGCUGGCCACCUACGAGAAAGGACGUAGUUCAAAUCCAAUAAAGAAUUCUAGAAAACUUAA
rnacentral:lncRNA from 1 species